rnacentral:rRNA from 1 species
UAAUUGGGCGUUAAGUUGCAGGGUAUAGACCCGAAACCCGGUGAUCUAGCCAUGGGCAGGUUGAAGGUUGGGUAACACUAACUGGAGGACCGAACCGACUAAUGUUGAAAAAUUAGCGGAUGACCUGUGGCUGGGGGUGAAAGGCCAAUCAAACCGGGAGAUAGCUGGUUCUCCCCGAAAGCUAUUUAGGUAGCGCCUCGUGAAUUCAUCUCCGGGGGUAGAGCACUGUUUCGGCUAGGGGGCCAUCCCGGCUUACCAACCCGAUGCAAACUGCGAAUACCGGAGAAUGUUAUCACGGGAGACACACGGCGGGUGCUAACGUCCGUCGUGAAGAGGGAAACAACCCAGACCGCCAGCUAAGGUCCCAAAGUCAUGGUUAAGUGGGAAACGAUGUGGGAAGGCCCAGACAGCCAGGAUGUUGGCUUAGAAGCAGCCAUCAUUUAAAGAAAGCGUAAUAGCUCACUGGUCGAGUCGGCCUGCGCGGAAGAUGUAACGGGGCUAAACCAUGCACCGAAGCUGCGGCAGCGACGCUGAUGCGUUGUUGGGUAGGGGAGCGUUCUGUAAGCCUGCGAAGGUGGCCUGUGAGGGUUGCUGGAGGUAUCAGAAGUGCGAAUGCUGACAUAAGUAACGAUAAAGCGGGUGAAAAGCCCGCUCGCCGGAAGACCAAGGGUUCCUGUCCAACGUUAAUCGGGGCAGGGUGAGUCGACCCCUAAGGCGAGGCCGAAAGGCGUAGUCGAUGGGAAACGGGUUAAUAUUCCCGUACUUGGUGUUACUGCGAAGGGGGGACGGAGAAGGCUAUGUUGGCCGGGCGACGGUUGUCCCGGUUUAAGCGUGUAGGUGUGUGUUCCAGGUAAAUCCGGUUCACUUUAACACUGAGGCGUGAUGACGAGGCACUACGGUGCUGAAGCAACAAAUGCCCUGCUUCCAGGAAAAGCCUCUAAGCAUCAGGUAACAUCAAAUCGUACCCCAAACCGACACAGGUGGUCAGGUAGAGAAUACCAAGGCGCUUGAGAGAACUCGGGUGAAGGAACUAGGCAAAAUGGUGCCGUAACU